CAGAGGCCCAUCGCAUCUGACUAGAAAGAAAAGCAUAAUUGACCCCAGGCAAUUCCCUGACUUGUAAAAGGAGCAAGGUAUUCUCUUGCACGUUUACAGUUGAUGAUCACGCAGACCUAGUAAGAUUUGCCAAUGUAACCUCAGCACCCAUCUAUGAGAUUCUUAGAAGGAGAAAGCAUUUCUGCCGGUCCCAUUGAAGCUCCGACUUUAAUCAUGCACCUUUUUGGGGUUCUAGCUUUCUAGAAUGAGGAAAACUCAAUAGUCUUUAUUAUUUUUUUUCUUGCUAUUAAUCCUAGGUUUUCAUGUCAAACUUCAUUAAGUGGCAG
rnacentral:misc_RNA from 1 species